UUAACAUAAUUUUGUAUGGAGUAGGAACAUUUGCCUAUGUUUGCCGCUAGGGGCGCUGUUCCAACUCCAUACGAAUUUGAGUUA
rfam:Bombyx mori DNA, contig: Bm_scaf31_contig19234, strain: p50T/Dazao, build 2, whole genome shotgun sequence.